AUUGGACGCUGGCGGAAUGCUUUACACAUGCAAGUCGAACGGUAGAGGGGGCAACCCCUCGAGAGUGGCGAACGGGUGAGUAAUAUGUCGGAACGUGCCCAGUCGUGGGGGAUAACUUAGCGAAAGUUACGCUAAUACCGCAUACGGUCUAAGGAUGAAAGCGGGGGAUCGCAAGACCUCGCGCGAUUGGAGCGGCCGAUAUCAGAUUAGGUAGUUGGUGGGGUAAAGGCUCACCAAGCCAACGAUCUGUAGCUGGUCUGAGAGGACGACCAGCCACACUGGAACUGAGACACGGUCCAGACUCCUACGGGAGGCAGCAGUGGGGAAUUUUGGACAAUGGACGCAAGUCUGAUCCAGCCAUUCCGCGUGCAGGAUGAAGGCCCUCGGGUUGUAAACUGCUUUUGUACGGAACGAAAAGGUCUCUCUUAAUACGGGGGACUCAUGACGGUACCGUAAGAAUAAGCACCGGCUAACUACGUGCCAGCCGCCGCAGUAAAAC
rnacentral:rRNA from 1 species